CCCCACCUCCCUCCUGCCUGUUUACCCUGAAACUGACACCCUGGUGAUGGAUAGGUGACUGUUUUUACGGCGAGAAACAGGAACAGCGAUGGUGAAUUAGAGCCAGAAUGAUCCUUCUGUCGUAGCCCGUGGGGGAUUUUUAACAGCCCUUCGAGCUGCGCUGGGAAUGUGGUCAGUAGCAAUCUGGGAGCCUUAAACCGUGGAUUUCACCCACUUUCUGCACUUUUCAGGAAAAGCAAAGAGAACCUUGUGGGGAGAAAAAUUUUGUGUCCAGGUAGCCACGGCAGCCUGCUUGGAAUGGUAAGAAAUGAGGAACUGCCACGUGCCAGUGUUUGGGGUGUGGUCAUGGAAGGGGUCAGGGUGGACACAGGCCCUGUGGGACAGACAGCUGUCAGGUUGGCCGUGGCUUGCAUGGACCACAGAACCUGAGAAUGCCUUUGACCAUUUCCCUGGAAAACUCUAAAACUCCCACUUUGUAGUUCAGGUUGGAUUUGACCUGAUUGUGUAGCCCAGGCUGGCUUGGAACCUGCGGUGAUCCUCCUGCCUCAGCCUCCUGAGUGCUGGGAUUGCAGGUGUGUGCCACCACACCACAUGGCAAGUUCCAUUAAGUUAUUGCAGGCCAUUAAAAGCACCUAGACUAAACCAGAUAUUUCACGUACAGGCUGAAUAUCCCUUGUCUCAAAUGUAUACGAGCAGAAGUGUUUGGGAUUCAGAUGUUUUUCAGAUUUUGGAAUAUUUUCAGCUAAAUAAUGGGGUACCUUGGGGAUACAACUCAAGUUUAAACAUACAGUGCACUUGUUUCAUUCCUGAGGUUCCUUUUGUGGUGCUGGGGCUGGAACCUGGGACCUCACAUGUGCUAGGCAGGUGCUUUAACCCUGAGCUACACAGCCUCAGCUUGGAAGGUGAUUUUUAAUCACUGUAAAUAAUUUUGUGCACGAAGCAGUGUUUCACUCAUGAGGUUAGAUGCAGAAUUCCCCACUAAUGGUAUCAUGCUGGCGCUCAAAAAAUUUCAGGCUGUGGAAUAUUUUGAAUUUUGGAGUUUCAGAGUGAAUCACUCCCCCCUGGGUAUGGCUCACCUUGAAGUGUGAUUUUCUUUUCUUUUCUUCUUAAGCAAAUAUUUAUUUUUGUUUUGUUUUUGUCUUUUUGAGACACGGUCUCGCUAUGCAGUUCAGGCUGGCCUUGAGCUCACUUUGUAGCUAAGGCUGGCCUCGAACUUGCAACAAUCCUCCUGCCUCAGCCUCCCAGGUGCUGGGAUUAUAGGCAUGCACUACUCUGCCUGUGCCCGGCUCACACAGUGUGAUUUUCUCACUCGACCAUGCCUGCCAUGAGGAAGAGGUCUUGUGGGUCCCACUGCUGUCUGUACCCCAGCAUCUAUGACAGUGCCUCUCCAUAGUAAUGGCAGCCCAUCUCUGGAAUGAAGGACUUUGUUAGUGGCCUUGGGCCACAUGCAAAGUGUCCUAGUAGACCUCUGACCUUGUAGACAGAGCUGCUUCAGUUCAUGAGCGUGACCACAAACUGAUGGACACUUGCAAAUAAUAGCAGUGCUCCUUUGAAAGAGCCGGUGACUUUCUGAGGUCAGCGAGGCAUCCUUAUUUCCACUGUGGGACGGGGCUGACCCACCGAGGGCCUAGCCGCUUGGGCUCAGGGUUCUGACACCAAAGUCAGUGACCUGACACUAAGCUAAGAAAAUAAAGAUCGUGGGUGAACCCUGAGCCUCUAUCUCAUUUCAUUGCUUAAAGACAGAACCCACAUAACCGUUUUAUUGAAGGGGCAGUGUUCGAUCAGAACCCUCCGAGUCAAGUGAUGGGCCCGAUGUUUUGUAAUAUCUCCUGCUUCCUGGAGGCGAUGUGCUUAGCUCGGAGACCUCCAUCUUCUGAAUUGCCUGUUCCUGCUUCAUACGCAACCGCAAAAAUGCACCACCAUGCAUGGAGGAGGAUUUCCUUAGUUAUAAGUUUAUGGAUUGGUGCAGGGAGGGGCUGGCAGAUUGUUUAUUUGUGGCUCCUGCCGCUUUCUGAAGCAAGUCUGGAAUCUUCUUUCAUGAGGGUCUUUACUUGUGCUGUUGGGGCUGCCUUGAUGUUCUAUAAUGAUUCAAAACGUUUACCGCAGUCAUUCUGACUUGGGGAAGAGUCAGGAGUCGCACGGUGCCGGAUCCUCGAAAGGAGGUGGCCGAGGACACGGGUCACCUCUCACCGGGCCGUCUUCACACUGGAUGGCGCACGGCAGCAGCGUUCACUGUGCUGUUGUUUUUAGAUCACAUUUGUGAAGACACACAAGAAGACUUCAGCACUGCUUCAGAAAGCGUCAAGACAGUGGGACAAGGUGCUGGGAGCAGCUGGGAGCAUUGUAUGUGCCGGGGCAGGGAUGGCACCCAGGGCCCUGCGCGUGCUGCAGAGCCCGCCCUGUGGCUGGUUCUGCUUCCCCUGGGCGCUGGGCCGGCCUUGCCAUCUUGCUCAUGUUUUCUGGCAUGGCCCGAGGGCCGGCCCAGCUCUCACGCUUGCCCAAUGCUCUCUGUAGCCCAGACUGCCAGCCGGGAGCACCGGCCCCCUGGUGCCAUCAGAGACCCAAGGGCACAGGUGGACGUGCCUGGGAUCGCAUGGCCGGAACUGGUGUUCGUCUGCCCUGUGCCCUUGGCCCAGCCAGGGGGCCCAGAUCAAGGACGGAGGAGGAGCUUCCCUUCUUCAUCGGAAGCUGGGAAAGAAGCAAAGGAGUGGAAUCCAGGUCGACUGAAGGAGACAGCUGUGUCCUAGUCACCUGUUUGUCACUGGGACACAGUUCCUGACACCCAGAGCUUAUUCUGGCUCAUGUGUUUAGUCCAGAGCUGGCUGGCUCCAAGGCAUGGCUGAAGGCUUUGGCGGAGGAGGGCUGCUCGUGUCAUGGAGGGCAGGAAGAGGGAUGGAAGGGAGGAGCUGGAGGGAGAGAAACCCUUCCAGGUCACCCCACUGACCCCGCUGGGCCCCGCCUCCUAACAGUGAGCACCCCAGGGGCCCGGUCCUCUCCAAAAAGCCCUACCAACAAGUGCACGAGGUCACUGAGGGACAUUUUCCACAUACACCAUAGCAAGUGUGAACCUUGAGGGGUACAGUUACUGAUCCUAAGUAUGUGUUGAGCUUUAUCAGGAAUCACCAUUUCUCUCAAAAUUGUACCAAUUUUCAUCCUCUUCAGUAGCACACCAAAGUCCCAAAUGCUGGAUCCUGUCAGUGUUGUUAAUUUCGGCUGUGUGGGGGGCGAGGUAGUGGUUCCUUAUGGUUUUUCAAAGUGCAUCUCUCUGCUGAUGAGUGAGGUUGGAAACCUUUCCGGGUCUGUGGGCCAUUUAUAUUGCUUUUUUGGUAAACUGUCUGCUCUGAUGUUUUGCACUCGGGCUAACUGGGCUAUCUGCUUCUCACUGAUAAGAGCAUUCCAAAGGGAGGGGACAAGAAUGUUCUCAUGUGACGAAGAGGGUGUCCAGGCUUCCCUUUCUGGGAUUGGCCAGGGUAACGCAGUGGGUCUUUGGAAGUACAUUUUAAGGUGGAGAAAGACAAAUUAUUUGAGCACAAAACAUCGAAGAAGAGUCUAACCUCAAACUUUAGUCCUGUUUUUCGGAUUCUGGGUGUCUUAGUUACUUCUUAUUUGUCGCUGAGACAAAAUACCUGAUGCCCAAAGUUGGGAAGGAAAGUGUCGGUGUUGCUCCCGGCCGGCAGGAAAGACACACGACAAGGUCUGGCGGUGGUCAGGCUUUUCUUUAUUUUCUCUCCGUACAGUCUGCCCCGAAGCCUCUACCGGUCCGCUCUCCGCGGCUCCUUCCGUGCUUCAGUCUGCCCCGAAGCCUCUACCGGUCCGCUCCCCGCGGCUCCUUUCGUGCUUCUGUCUCGAGCAGGAGAGGCACUCGCUUAUAUGCAGACCCAUCAUCCAAUCAAGCAAAAGCGGGUGAUGCAAGCUGAUUGGCUAGCAUCAGUUGUUGCUAGGUAGACUAUUCCGCUGAGCGGGAUGUUUAUGUAGCCAGGACAAUCAGAAAGCAGGAGGCAGGCACCAUCUCGGCUCACUCGAUGGGAGGGGUAAUUUAGCUCAGGCUUCGCUCUUUCCUACAGGCCGCAUGACCGCCGCGCAUGGUGAUCUAGCGCUGCUGCGGCUCCCAACAGGAAAGGUCUAUUUUUUAUAGUUUUUGGAGGUUUUUUAUAGUUAUGGAGGUCAGUCCAUACUCAGUUGGCUCCAAGGCAGGGUGGCAUGGUGGGCCUGCAGUUUAUGGCAGCUGCAAACAGCAAGGUGGAAACUGGCAAGAGAGAGAGAGAGAGACACCUUCUUCCUGCCAUUACAUCACAUCCUGGCUCCACCCCUUUGUGGGUGUAGCACUGACACCAUCAAUCCAAGCACUAUACAAUGAACCAAUCACAGAUGCACAAUGCAAAUGUAUGAGGCCAGGGCCAUAGACAUAAACCAUGACAUUCCACCCCUGGACUCCUGGACUCAUGUACAUCCUAUAUAUAAAAGACACUUAGUUUAUUUAGUUUAUCUCCAAGAGUUGCCAAAGUCCUAACAGUUUUAACAUUGUUGAAAAGUCUGUCUUAAGUCUCCUCUAAGAUCUAUGGCAAACUCUUAACUGUAACCCCCUGUACGAGUGAAACAAGGUUAAACAUUUUGAAAUGCAAAGGCACAAGAUAAAUAUUACCAUUUUAAAAGUUACAAGCUGGGGAAUAUAAAGGAUUGGAGACAAAGCAAGUCUAACAUCUAGCAGGGCGAACAUUAAGUCUUAGAGUUUUAUGCUCAGCCUUUGAAGCAAUCUGGUUGCAAGCUCCAACAGGCUUGGGUGAUUUCACCUCCGUGGCACUUUUAGGGAUAUCAGCUCCGGCAGCUUUUUAAAAAACCUUCUCUGUUCACUUUUUGUAGCUGUUCUUGGAUGAUCCAUGUUUUUGGCUUUUAAAAACUUCUGUUCCACUGCACCUUUGGCUUCACCCUUACAUCUUUAUAAAUUGCCUUCCAGGGGCACACUGCUUGGCUUCCCAGGCCCUUUGCAAUCGAGGUGGAAGCCGUCCUACCCUGAGAAUUUGUGCAUUUUUUGGUAUCUAAAACCAGCACCAUGUGGAUGCUGCUAGCUGGAGCAGUAGCCAGGCUUUUUUAUUUUUGGGAGGGCUGUAGGGGUCGAUUGCCUGGAUUUUUGGGCUCUUUGAACCUGAUUGUGAAGAAAAGCUUCUCUGUGUUGUCGCCAUUGUGGAACCUCAUGUGGCCUCCAUCACCAUUUUGGAGCAUGGUGCUCUGCAGCUUUUUUUUUUUUGAGCAAGGUUUUUUACUUUUGCAGUUUUGAGGCUGCAAAGGGUGGAGACACGCUGCUUCUUGGGAUGCCCUGUGGCCAUCUUUUUAUCUCUAUUUUUUUUCAGCAAUCUAAGUCUCAACUCUAUCUUUACAAUCUACAGCUUUAUUGGGUUUUUAUAUUUGGCCAAACUCACAGCAUUUUAUUUCUCCUUUUUUUUUUUUUUUUUGUCUUUUUCGUUUUUAUCGGUACCAGGGAUCGAACUCACGACCACACACUUGCAAGAAAGGUGCUUAUGCCACUGAGCUAAAUCCCCAGCCCCUACUCACAGCAUUUUAAAUUGUCCUGCUGGGCUCUUUGUUUUUGAUUUGUAACAUAAAGCUGGCUAAAACCCCCAACAGUAGCCAUGCCACAGCUCAACAUUUGACUGUUUUGAAAUUUUUUUUGCCAGAUUAAUCAGCCCAUUACCCUUAGUCUCAGCCUCAGGCAAAGUCUCUGGGCAUGAGCAAAAUGCAGACAAACUUUCUGCCGAGCCAUAAUGCACAUCGUGGGGAGUCCAAUGACCAAUGCAGUCCUUUCUUUUUUUUUAGCAGAAACCUCCCAAGCCUGGUCUUUAGCAUCAGGCUUUUUUAAAAAAAAAAAAAUCAGCCUUCUGGUCUCCUGAGCUCUGACCAGAAUCUCCUCUAUAGAACAGCCUAAGCUGCUCCAGUCUAUGCAUCCAGGUGACAUGUCUGAACCUUUUAAAACUCUGCUCACAAGCCAUUUUUAGAGUCUCUCGAAAAACAUGGUCAGAUAUAGUCAAGGUAAUGACCCCACUCCUGGUACCAAAUUUUGUCUUAAUUACUUUUUAUUCAUUGCUGUAACAAAAUAUCUGAUGCCCAAAGUUGGGAAAGGAAAGGUUUAUUUUUUAUAGUUUUUAGAAGUUUUAGUCUAUACCCAAUUGGCUCCAAAGCAGGGUGGCAUGGCAGGGCUACAGUUUAUGGCAGCUGCAAACCGAAAGGCAGAAACCAGCAAGAGAGAGAGACACACCUCCUUCCUGCCAUUACAUUGUAUGCUGGCUCCAUCCCUAAGCAGAUGUAGCAUUGACACCAUCAAUCUAAGUGCUGGACAAUGAACCAAUCACAAAUGCACAAUGCAAAGGCAUGAGGCCUGGGGGCCAGUGACAUAAACCAUGACACUGGGUGACUUGUUAAAACAGGUCCUGGGAGUCCUGCCUGGCCCAGAGUUUUGGGGUCCAGGUGGAGAUGGGGGUGUAAGGAGCUCCCUGGAGAUGCUGGUGUGCCCUCUGCAGACCACUGGGAGCAGCUGCUGUACACACUCAGGCUGAAGCCAGACCACAGUGAGGACUGUUGGUUUCCCCUUGGCCAAUUUCUGCCUUUGAAGGCCCUCCUGCUUCAUCUGCCCGCCCCCCACCCCAUCCUGCAGAGCUAUUGGACAUAAGGGGUGAUUGACAAGCCAUAUUGUCCACUGGUACAGGGGCAAAGACGUUCCGGGGAGCAAGGAGUUAAGGGGUAGGGGGCAAGCAGGCCAGCGGAGUUCCCAGCUGACCCAAGGCCAGGGCCCUGAGAGUCUUUCAGAGCAGACGUGGUACAUUACUUGCAUCUGCCAUGAUUUGGGUUUCUUUUCUGAGUGGGAAAGAUGCGUCUAGUGUAUUUAAAACAUUUUAAAGCCAGGAUGGUGGUUCUGGCAUGUAAUACCAGCCACUGGGGAAGCUGAGGCAGGACAGUUGCAAGCUGGAGUUCAGACAGUUUAGAGAGACUGUGUCUCACAAAAUAAUCUGUUGUUAACAUUUAUAUGUUUUUAGGGAGUUAGAUCUUUUGAAACUAGAAAGGGAGCCAAGAGAUGAAGAAGGGAAAGAGGAUGUAAAAAGUACUAAGAUGUACGAUGCAUGUGUACGAGCUCCUCACAACGCACGUAAUCAUUAUGUACUGCAGAGAAUUAAUAAAACCCAAGCUGGAGAUUUUCUAUAACAAUCCGCCCUCAGGCUUGAAAAAAUCAGAAGAGCCUGAAGCACCUCUCCUCCCCCCAGCAACAGCAUAGACUUCUCAUGCAAAGCCAGGGCCGCCCCUGCUGACCUCAGCACUGCCUAGAGAGCAUCACACUUACUGUGACAGCCCUGAUCGCCUGCGGCUUCCCGGGGACUGUGCUGCCCACUGGUUACCUCACCGGACCGCACUGCAGCCCAGCAAGGGGUGCUGCUCUGCACCCCGCCCCCCCACAGGUGGAGUAGUGGGUGCUAGUGUUAAACGGAGGCUCCGUGCAAGCUGCCUCGCAGGGCCAAGUGGCGGGGCUGGGAUCUGAACCCAGAACCCGACCUCAGCCCGCUGGGUGCCUGAUGUCUGAGAUCCUGUAAUGUUUGGGGCAGCCGUGCUUAGCUUUGUAGCGGGACUUUCUGAAGAAUCUCCACGUCAGAUGCAGGCUGAUUCUUCCUCCUCUUGGUGCCAAGCAGGUGGUUUCUGCAGAGAAGGUCAGGAUCAUCUGUUGGGCCCUCUCCAGGGUCAGUUCCCAGUCUUCCCCAGGAGGGUCCCAGGUCUAAGCCGAUUGGUGCUUCUCAUUCCAUUAACCACGCCCAUUGGUUCAGAGAUGGGAAUCAGGUUAAAGCUGGCCAAUCAGAGCAAGCCCCAGGGAUGCUGGAAUUGCCAGAAAAAGAGACCAGCUCUCCUCCACUGCUCUUGAAUCUGACAGGAUGUAACCUCAAAAGAGCUGGCAGCUCUUUUGACCCCAUGAGGUGACAGGAUGCCAGACAGAAAAACCAGGUCCUGAUAACAGCGUUUGUGCCUUGAGUCGCACUGCGCUUGAAGUCAGGUCAACCUGUGCACUGUUCAACUCUAUGACCCAAUAAAUUCUUUUAGUUUGAAA